rnacentral:rRNA from 1 species
GAUGAACGCUAGCGGCAGGCCUAAUACAUGCAAGUCGAACGGUGUCUUCGGACAUAGUGGCGCACGGGUGCGUAACACGUAUGCAACCUACCUUACAUUGGGGGAUAGCCUUUCGAAAGGGAGAUUAAUACCGCAUAAGACAGUAGCUGGGCAUCCAGCAGCUGUUAAAGAUUUAUCGAUGUAAGCUGGGCAUGCGUCCAAUUAGCCAGUUGGUGAGGUAACGGCUCACCAAGGCAAUGAUUGGUAGGGGAACUGAGAGGUCAAUCCCCCACACUGGAACUGAGAUACGGGCCAGACUCCUACGGGAGGCAGACGUAGGGAAUAUUGGGCAAGGGACGCAAGUCUGACCCAGCCAUGCCGCGUGCAGGAUGAAGGCGUUAUGCGUUGUAAACUGCUUUUAUACAGGAAGAAACGACUCUUGCGAGAGGCAUUGACGGUACUGUAUGAAUAAGCACCGGCUAACUCCGUGCCAGCAGCCGCAGUAAAAC